rnacentral:rRNA from 1 species
UCGUCAGCUCGUGUCGUGAGAUGUUGGGUUAAGUCCCGCAACGAGCGCAACCCUUGCCUUUAGUUGCCAGCAUUAAGUUGGGCACUCUAGAGGGACUGCCGAGGAUAACUCGGAGGAAGGUGGGGAUGACGUCAAAUCAUCAUGCCCCUUAUGCUUAGGGCUACACACGUGCUACAAUGGGUGGUACAGAGGGUUGCCAAACCGUGAGGUGGAGCUAAUCCCUUAAAGCCAUUCUCAGUUCGGAUUGUAGGCUGAAACUCGCCUACAUGAAGCUGGAGUUACUAGUAAUCGCAGAUCAGAAUGCUGCGGUGAAUGCGUUCCCGGGUCUUGUACACACCGCCCGUCACACCAUGGGAGUUGGGGGCGCCCGAAGCCGGUUAGCUAACCUCUUAGGAGGCAACCGUCGAAGGUGAAACCAAUGACUGGGGUGAAGUCGUAACAAGGUAGCCGUA